rnacentral:lncRNA from 1 species
AUGUCUGCCGCAGGAGAAGGAGACCUGGCCGCAGGUGGCCUGAACAGGCCUGUGGGCGUGCCGGGGGCGUGGGCCCUGGCGGCCGGCUGGUCGGCGACUCGGGGCCCCACGGGGCGGCGAGAGUCACGGCGGCGGCGGCGGCGGGAGCCCUCGGGGAGGCGGCGGGGGAGCCGGGGGCCGGCGGCCCGGAGGGCGGGAGCGCCGAGGAGGACUCGGACAUCGAGCCGGCAGAGGAGGGCGAGGAGGCGGCGGCGGGCCGCCUGGCGGUGGACGCGGCGCAGUUCCCGCGGGCGAGCUUACGCCUCCUCUUCCUGGAGUUCGCGCAGUCGCUGCUGCGCCGCCUCUUCUACAAUAACCACGUGCUGCUGCGGCCAUGGCCUCUGGCUCACGACGGCUUGGCUCAGCGCCCCGCGCCCCGCGGGCCGGCGCCGCAAGAGCUGGCCGCCUGCGCCCUGCCGCCGGUCCAGGAGCCGGGGAAGGGGGCCACGACCCAGGAGCCGGGGGCGGAGACCGCGACCCAGGAGCCGGGAGCGGAGGCCGCGACCCAGGAGCCCGCGGAGGAGGCCGCCGCCCCGGAGGAAACAACUAAAUAUCGGUGUGAAAACUCGAAUGAAGAGGCCCACGACGCUGAAGACAAGGACGAAAAAGAGAAGUUUAACAAAAAACAAGAAGGACCCGAAAACGCUCUGGACCCCACAGACAGCACACCGAGAAAAUCCAGUUGGGAGGAAUAGAAAGAAGAUGGAGAAAGAAGAAAGAACCUGCUCUUCACCCUUUAGGUUUUUCGUUUUUUAGAAGCCCAAGGGAAUUUUAUCAACACUGAUUUCAUUCCAACUUCAUCACCCCAAAAGUGACAUCCACUGACAUCUGACUUUUCCCUUACAUUUUGCAGAUAUAUUUGACAGCAUUUCUUCUAGUUAAAAAAUUUGUUUUAAAUUAAUAAACUGAAAUGAAGGCAGAUUUUAUUUACA